GCAGUCGAGCGGACCGAUGGGAGCUUGCUCCUUUAGGUUAGCGGCGGACGGGUGAGUAACACGUGGGCAACCUGCCCUGCAGACUGGGAUAACUUCGGGAAACCGGAGCUAAUACCGGAUAACACCGAAAACCGCAUGGUUUUCGGUUGAAAGGCGGCUUUUAGCUGUCACUGCAGGAUGGGCCCGCGGCGCAUUAGCUAGUUGGUGAGGUAACGGCUCACCAAGACGACGAUGCGUAGCCGACCUGAGAGGGUGACCGGCCACACUGGGACUGAGACACGGCCCAGACUCCUACGGGAGGCAGCAGUAGGGAAUCUUCCGCAAUGGACGAAAGUCUGACGGAGCAACGCCGCGUGAGCGAAGAAGGUCUUCGGAUCGUAAAGCUCUGUUGUCAGGGAAGAACAAGUGCCGUUCGAACAGGGCGGUACCUUGACGGUACCUGACGAGGAAGCCACGGCUAACUACGUGCCAGCAGCCGCGGUAAU
rnacentral:rRNA from 1 species